GACGAACGCUGGCGGCGUGCUUAACACAUGCAAGUCGAACGGAAAGGCCCUGCUUUUGUGGGGUGCUCGAGUGGCGAACGGGUGAGUAACACGUGAGUAACCUGCCCUUGACUUUGGGAUAACUUCAGGAAACUGGGGCUAAUACCGGAUAGGAGCUCCUGCUGCAUGGUGGGGGUUGGAAAGUUUCGGCGGUUGGGGAUGGACUCGCGGCUUAUCAGCUUGUUGGUGGGGUAGUGGCUUACCAAGGCUUUGACGGGUAGCCGGCCUGAGAGGGUGAACGGCGACAUUGGGACUGAGGGACGGAGCAGACUCGUACGGGAGGCAGCAGUGGGGAGUAUUGCACAGUGGGCGGAAGCCUGAUGCAGCGACGCCGCGUGCGGGAUGACGGCCUUCGGGUUAUAAACCGCUUUCGCCUGUGACGAAGCGUGAGUGACGGUAAUGGGUAAAGAAGCACCGGCUAACUACGUG
rnacentral:rRNA from 1 species